rnacentral:rRNA from 1 species
UAGCCGACCUGAGAGGGUGAUCGGCCACACUGGAACUGAGACACGGUCCAGACUCCUACGGGAGGCAGCAGUAGGGAAUCUUCCGCAAUGGGCGAAAGCCUGACGGAGCAACGCCGCGUGAGUGAUGAAGGUCUUCGGAUCGUAAAACUCUGUUAUUAGGGAAGAACAUAUGUGUAAGUAACUGUGCACAUCUUGACGGUACCUAAUCAGAAAGCCACGGCUAACUACGUGCCAGCAGCCGCGGUAAUACGUAGGUGGCAAGCGUUAUCCGGAAUUAUUGGGCGUAAAGCGCGCGUAGGCGGUUUUUUAAGUCUGAUGUGAAAGCCCACGGCUCAACCGUGGAGGGUCAUUGGAAACUGGAAAACUUGAGUGCAGAAGAGGAAAGUGGAAUUCCAUGUGUAGCGGUGAAAUGCGCAGAGAUAUGGAGGAACACCAGUGGCGAAGGCGACUUUCUGGUCUGU